CGUACUGGCAUUGUUGGUUUCUCCCUUCUGACGAACCAUGAUGUCAUUUAUUUGGUGUUGUGGGGAAUCAGGACUGUUACUUUGAAAAAAUUAGAGUGUUUAAAGCAGGCUCACGCUUGAAUACAUUAGCAUGGAAUAAUGAAAUAGGACGUUUGAUUCUAUUUUGUUGGUUUCUAGGAUCGACGUAAUGAUUAAUAGGGAUAGUUGGGGGCAUUAGUAUUCAAUUGUCAGAGGUGAAAUUCUUGGAUUUAUUGAAGACUAACUACUGCGAAAGCAUUUGCCAAGGAUGUUUUCAUUAAUCAAGAACGAAAGUUAGGGGAUCGAAGACGAUCAGAUACCGUCGUAGUCUUAACCAUAAACUAUGCCGACUAGGGAUCGGAUGAUGUUAAUUUUUCAAUGACUCAUUCGGCGCCUUACG
rnacentral:rRNA from 1 species